rnacentral:rRNA from 1 species
UACGUAGGUGGCAAGCGUUGUUCGGAUUUACUGGGCGUAAAGGGCGCGUAGGCGGCAUGACAAGUCACUUGUGAAAUCUCCGGGCUUAACUCGGAACGGUCAAGUGAUACUGUCGCGCUAGAGUGCGGAAGGGGCAAUCAGAAUUCUUGGUGUAGCGGUGAAAUGCGUAGAUAUCAAGAGGAAUACCUGAGGUGAAGACGGGUUGCUAGGCCGACACUGACGCUGAAGCGCGAAAGCCAGGGGAGCAAACGGG